rnacentral:sRNA from 1 species
AGCAGCCGCGGUAAUUCCAGCUCCAAUAGCGUAUAUUAAAGUUGUUGCAGUUAAAAAGCUCGUAGUUGAAUUUCGAGACCGGCUUACUGGUCGUGCUUUUGUACGUACUGGUAUAAUCGGUUUCUCCUUUCUGACGAACUAUAAUGCCAUUAAUUUGGUGUUAUAGGGAAUCAGGACUGUUACUUUGAAAAAAUUAGAGUGUUUAAAGCAGGCUCACGCUUGAAUACAUUAGCAUGGAAUAACGGAAUAGGACGUUUGAUUCUAUUUUGUUGGUUUCUAGGAUCGACGUAAUGAUUAAUAGGGAUAGUUGGGGGCAUUAGUAUUCAAUUGUCAGAGGUGAAAUUCUUGGAUUUAUUGAAGACUAACUACUGCGAAAGCAUUUGCCAAGGAUGUUUUCAUUAAUCAAGAACGAAAGUUAGGGGAUCGAAGACGAUCAGAUACCGUCGUAGUCUUAACCAUAAACUAUGCCGACUAGGGAUCGGAUGAUGUUAAUUUUUUAAUGACUCAUUCG